CAUUCAUUAUUUCUCCUCUAGGCCGUGAGCCUUUCUUUGCAUUCCUAACCUCACCAAAAUUCCAUUCCUUAACCAAAUUGAUCCAUUAGAAGCUUGUUGGAACCAUAGGAGUUCAUGGAUCAUCAUCUCUAAGCUAGAGCCAAGGAAGUGGUGUGCUUGGGCAAGAUGAGGUAGAGGCCGUGAGAGAGAGGAGGAGCUUGAGAGCUAGAGAAAUCUUGAGGAAUCAUCGAGGCUAAGGUUGACAGGUUAUCUGUUAGCCUUGUCCGAGUUCGUGGUGAAGCUCCGCUCUGAUUAUGACACGGGGUAAAAAGGGGUUUUAUAUAUGUAUAGAUUCCUUUAGAAAAAUACUCUGUAAUCGUUUAUGUUUUCAUGUAAGAUAUAUAUUCUUAAUGAAAAGUAUUUGUUUUGUAUAA